rnacentral:rRNA from 1 species
UAAGACGAACCGUGCGAACGUUGUUCGGAAUCACUGGGCUUAAAGGGCGCGUAGGCGGUCGGUCAAGUCCGGGGUGAAAUCCUGCAGCUUAACUGUAGAAGUGCCUUGGAUACUGGCUGGCUCGAGGGAGGUAGGGGUCUUUGGAACUUCUGGUGGAGCGGUGAAAUGCGUUGAUAUCAGAAGGAACGCCGGUGGCGAAAGCGAAAGACUGGACCUCUUCUGACGCUGAGGCGCGAAAGCCAGGGGAGCAAACGGGAUUAGAUACCCCGGUAGUCCUGGCCCUAAACGAUGGGUACUAGAUUGUAGACUUAUCAUGGGUUUACAAUCGAAGCAAAAGUGUUAAGUACCCCGCCUGGGGAGUAUGGUCGCAAGGCUG